rnacentral:misc_RNA from 1 species
AGUUUCAUCUUUAAUGUAAUGAGUUGGACUCGAAUGGUGCGAAAUGGUUGCGGAGGAUUCAUUUAGCCGGCCUUGACUUUGUUUGGAAUUAAGGCGUAAUGGAUGAUGGAGUGACACAAUAUUAUACAUCUCUAGCUUACGAGGGCAUGACUCUAAAUAGGAAGAUUUGGAGGUCGAGUAUUAGGACAGGAAGGUAAUAGGUUGCUG